AAGAGUGAAUGAGAGGGAGCUCUAGUGAGGGGAAGAGAGACAAGACGAUAAAGGAGAAGGGAACCUUGAGUGAGAAAUCUACAAUAUAUCCGUUCUGUACCUUGAUUCAAUAUUUAGCAAUAUUUUGAUUUUAGUCAACAAAAAGCUUGUACAGCAAUUGUCAAAUGUUGUGAUCUAGCUAAAGGGAGUUUGAAAGGGUGUGGCGAGGAAACGGCUAAAUCAAAACUCAGUGGAGCCAAGUUACGAAGCUUCUAGUAUUUGAGUUCAAGAAGAAUUUGUCAAUGAAUCAAACAAUUGGAGGAUUCAAGCUUUGGAACUCAGUGUGAAAAGGGGAAUUUUCUGGCCACCAAUCAUCCGGCAAAUCAAAUCGAGUGCAAGGAUCCCGGCUUGAGUGGGCGGGGCCUAAGGACUUCGGAGACCGCCUGGACUAGCUAUUGAGUGGACUUGCUACCAAGUGUACGUACAGGGGCAUAAUGUUUCCCUUUGUGUGAUUGUGAUUCUGUUUCUGAUUAUGACCCUGGGUCGUGUUAUACUGAUUCUGCUGGUUCUGUCUGGUUGGUAUUGUUGGUCUUAUGUUGCUCGGGAGGGACUAUCUGUCAGGAUACUGUGUGCUAACGGUAGUAGAUGUUAGCCUUGUUGCACUGAGUUAAGCCUCAGCUAGGAGGGGUGAUGCUAGCCACCCGUGUGUAGGCCUGCACGUGGUGAUCUGUUCUAAUGAGACUGUGAGAGUGCCCGAUUCUGUAUACAUCUGUUGAGGUGUUGAGAUUUCAUAUUUGACAUUGUGUGUUGUCUGAUAUUCUGAUUAAUUAUGUAUGAUAGUCCUUUCAUCUGAACCUGUCGGUAUAAUCUA